rnacentral:lncRNA from 1 species
CUGCGUCCCCGUGUCCCUCGCUGACUCCCUCCUGGAGGGAGAGCCUCCUGCCACAGGGCCCUGGCUAGUGCAGUGUCUGCCCCACUGUGGCCAUCAGCAAACACCUGCCAGGGCCAAAAGGCCUUGCUCCAUGGAGGGUCUGGAAGGCCUGCAGGGCUGCUGACCUUGGAUGGACUAAGCCCACAGCAGCAGGCAGGUAUAUUCUCAGUAAAUCCUUGAGGGGAAAAGUGGGGCAUCCCCAGGGUCGUCGCCUGUGUCCUCUUCCUCCAGCGGCACAGGGUAUUGCAGAUGGGUCACCAGCCCCAUGUUUUCCUUCUUGUAAAACUCGAUGAGCUGGUCCAGCUUGGUGAAGAACCUCAUGGAGACGCCUUCGGAUGCCUGAGGACAGAACAUCCAAACAAACGCACAUGUUAACCAACUAGAAUGUCAGCCAACCACAAAGGCCAACUGCAGCAGAGACCAGCGAGGCGGAGGGAGUGACUGCGAUCCAGGAAAAGCCUUGGGCUCCUACGCAGGGUGUGUGACCCUCAUGCCCACACCUCACAUCCUGCAACCAGCAGCUGCCAAGGGCCCUUCUGCAAAAGGCACACAGAGGAUCGUUCCUAAGAUCUGUUUUUCUUUCCGUUUUUAAAAAACUUUUAUUUUUAAAAGUGUUUUUGGGCCAGGCACGGUGGCUCACACCUGUAAUCCCAGCACUUUGGGAGGCUGAGGCAGGUGGAUCACCUGAGGUCAGGAGUUUGAGACCAGCCUGGCCAACACGAUGAAACCCCAUCUCUGCUAACAAAAAAAAAGAAUACAAAAAUUAGCCGGGCGUGGUGGCAGGUGCCUGUAAUCCCAGCUACUCAGGAGGCUGAGACAGGAGAAUCACUUGAACCUGGGAGGCAGAGGUUGCAGUGAGCCGAG